rnacentral:rRNA from 1 species
GAUGAACGCUGGCGGCGUGCUUAACACAUGCAAGUCGAACGGAAAGGCCCUGCUUUUGUGGGGUGCUCGAGUGGCGAACGGGUGAGUAACACGUGAGUAACCUGCCCUUUACUUUGGGAUAACUUCAGGAAACUGGGGCUAAUACCGGAUAGGAGCUCCUGCUGCAUGGUGGGGUUGGAAAGUUUCGGCGGUUGGGGAUGGACUCGCGGCUUAUCAGCUUGUUGGUGGGGUAGUGGCUUACCAAGGCUUUGACGGGUAGCCGGCCUGAGAGGGUGACCGGCCACAUUGGGACUGAGAUACGGCCCAGACUCCUACGGGAGGCAGCAGUGGGGAAUAUUGCACAAUGGGCGGAAGCCUGAUGCAGCAACGCCGCGUGCGGGAUGACGGCCUUCGGGUUGUAAACCGCUUUCGCCUGUGACGAAGCGUGAGUGACGGUAAUGGGUAAAGAAGCACCGGCUAACUACGUG